CAGCCGCCGCGGGAAUACGAAGGGGGCUAGCGUUGUUCGGAUUUACUGGGCGUAAAGGGCGCGUAGGCGGACUGAUAAGUCAGGGGUGAAAUCCCAAGGCUCAACCUUGGAACUGCCUUUGAUACUGUUUGUCUUGAGUUCGAGAGAGGUAAGUGGAACUGCGAGUGUAGAGGUGAAAUUCGUAGAUAUUCGCAAGAACACCAGUGGCGAAGGCGGCUUACUGGCUCGAAACUGACGCUGAGGCGCGAAAGCGUGGGGAGCAAGCAGGAUUAGAUACCCCGGUAGUCCCUGUCUCUUAUAC
rnacentral:rRNA from 1 species